GAGAACCCAUCAGUGUCAACGUCCACGUCACCAACAACUCCACCAAAACUGUCAAAUGAAUCAAAAUCUCAGUGCGACAGUAUGCUGAUAUCUGUUUGUUCAGCACUGCACAGUACAAAUGCCCCGUGGCUCAGGUAGAAGCCGAUGAUCAGGUGUCAUCCAGCUCCACGUUCUGUAAGGUGUACACGCUCACCCCGACACUGAACAACAACCGAGAGAAGAGAGGUCUAGCACUGGACGGCAAACUCAAACACGAGGACACCAACCUGGCCUCCAG